UGCUGCGUAUCGCUGCUCAUUAUCAGAUUGCUGUUUUGAGGCAGCGGCUUAAAAGAGAGAUUAAGUCUACUGUAUCCCAAAGGUUGGUGGAACUAGGUGUUUUAGUGGUGCCUGCAGUAGUCUGUGAAGGUUCCUUUGGUGCUGAAGGUCGCCCGGGCGAGGAGGAGCGAGGUGGAAUGGCUGAGAUGGAGGAUUCGGAGGCCAAGGCCGCUCUGCCGCCCUUUGAGCCUUUUUCUCCGGGCUCGGCCGAGUCUGGAGGAGGUGAUGUGCGGCUUAAAGUCCGUUUAGCGCGAGUCCAAAUGGAGGCGCGCGAACGGGCAGAAGACCGUCGGGCUGAUAUGGAGUUUCGACUUGAAGUCCGCAGACUUGAAAUCGAGGCGGAGACGCAGGUUAAGCUGCGUGAACUUGAAUUGAGUGCAGCCAAAAUGACACCUGUUCCAGUUGUGCAACCCUUACAGCCCGCUGAUGUUUCGGCGGGGGCUGGCUCGGUGGGGACCAACUUUGAGGUCAGUAGACAUAUUUCUCUUGUGCCGCAGUUUCGGGAAACAGAAGUUGACUCAUAUUUUAGCGUGUUUGAGCGGAUUGCAUCCACACUUCAUUGGCCUAAAGAGGUUUGGCCUUUGCUGUUACAGUGCAAGUUAACUGGUAAGGCUCAAGAUGUUUGCGCUACGUUGUCCAUAGAAGAUAGCGUGAAUUAUGAGGUAGUGAAAGCUGCAAUUCUGCGUACAUAUGAGUUGGUGCCAGAAGCCUAUAGGCAACGGUUUAGAAGCCAUAAGAAAAAUUCCAGUCAGACAUUCGUUGAAUUUGCGAGGGAGAAAGGCAUUUUAUUUGACAAGUGGUGUACUUCGAGUAAGGCAGAUGAUUUUAGUACCAUGCAAGAAUUAAUUCUUUUAGAAGAAUUUAAAAAUUGUAUACCUGAGCGUGUUGUCGUUUAUUUAAAUGAGCAGAAAGUAACUUCUUUGUCUCAAGCUUCUGUCCUGGCAGAUGAAUUCGCAUUGACGCAUAAAAAUGUGUUUAUUUCUGCGCGUUCUGAGAAAGCUGUGUCUCUUCAGGUGAAUUUGAGUAGUUCGUCA
ensembl:lncRNA